CCUUACACAUGCAAGUCGAACGGUAGGAGGGCAACCCUCGAGAGUGGCGAACGGGUGAGUAACGCAUCGGAACGUGCCCAGUAGGUGGGGAUACGCCCGGCGAAAGCCGGAUUAAUACCGCAUACGACCUAUGGGUGAAAGCGGGGGACCGUAAGGCCUCGCGCUAUUGGAGCGGCCGAUGUCAGAUUAGGUAGUUGGUGGGGUAAAAGCCUACCAAGCCGACGAUCUGUAGCUGGUCUGAGAGGACGACCAGCCACACUGGGACUGAGACACGGCCCAGACUCCUACGGGAGGCAGCAGUGGGGAAUUUUGGACAAUGGGCGCAAGCCUGAUCCAGCCAUGCCGCGUGCGGGAAGAAGGCCUUCGGGUUGUAAACCGCUUUUGUCAGGGAAGAAAUCUUUUGGGCUAACACCUCGGAAGGAUGACGGUACCUGAAGAAUAAGCACCGGCUAACUACGUGCCAGCAGCCGCG
rnacentral:rRNA from 1 species